rnacentral:rRNA from 1 species
UACGUAGGGUGCAAGCGUUGUCCGGAAUUAUUGGGCGUAAAGAGCUCGUAGGCGGCUUGUUGCGUCGACUGUGAAAACCCGCGGCUCAACCGUGUGGUCUGCAGUCGAUACGGGCAGGCUAGAAUUCGGUAGGGGAGACUGGAAUUCCUGGUGUAGCGGUGAAAUGCGCAGAUAUCAGGAGGAACACCGGUGGCGAAGGCGGGUCUCUGGGCCGAUAUUGACGCUGAGGAGCGAAAGCGUGGGGAGCGAACAGG